rnacentral:rRNA from 1 species
UGCCAGACUCCUACGGGAGGCAGCAGUGAGGCAUAUUGGUCAAUGGGCGAGAGCCUGAACCAGCCAAGUCGCGUGAAGGAUGACGGCCCUACGGGUUGUAAACUUCUUUUGUCAGGGAGCAAUUGAGUCCACGUGUGGUCUUAGCGAGAGUACCUGAAGAAAAAGCAUCGGCUAACUCCGUGCCAGCAGCCACGGUAAUACGGAGGAUGCGAGCGUUAUCCGGAUUUAUUGGGUUUAAAGGGUGCGCAGGCGGAAUGUCAAGUCAGCGGUAAAAUUUCGGGGCUCAACCCCGUCGUGCCGUUGAAACUGGCGUUCUUGAGUGAGCGAGAAGUAUGCGGAAUGCGUGGUGUAGCGGUGAAAUGCAUAGAUAUCACGCAGAACUCCGAUUGCGAAGGCAGCAUACCGGCGCUCAACUGACGCUCAUGCACGAAAGCGUGGGUAUCGAACAGGAUUAGAUACCCGCGUAAA